UCUGGACCUAAUCUUGUACAUCACUUGAAUGAGACAUCUUUUUUUCUUUACUGUAAACACAUCCUGGCCUGGUAUGUGUUACUACGGGGACAGCGUUACUCAGAGGUUUGUGGUUGCUGUUCCCUCACGUUAUUCCCCGUUGAAUCACUGCCCUGGAGAGACAGUCAGUCUUGUGGGGGAGGCAGAUCUGUGACAAAAGGAGGAGAAUAAAUCUCUAGCGGUCAACAUUCUGUUGUUCCACAAACAAGGAAGUCAUUCAUGUCUGUAGAGGGAAAGAGUCUUCAGAGGGGUCGCGUUUGAGAUAAAAUCAGUGGUAAUUUCUUAGAGUUUUGGGGUCAGAUCCACACCGCGACCUGACGGCCUCCCAGCCUCCUCCAUCUUUUGCCCCAUUUUCUCCGCUACGUCUCCUGCAUGACUGACCCGCCUUGGCAUCUACUUCUUGGAGGACCUGAAAUAAUGCUUCUUUCUUAGUGUGCCCUCGCACUUUGGGCGACCAUACCUGCUAGAGAACAAGGGGAUUCUCUGCUGCUCUGCUUCGCUACAGCAAAUCCCACCCCCUUCCACCUCCUCCUCCCCCGGCUGGGUAUGAGGAUCAGAUGGUCACCAGGAGCCGGACUUCAUCUUCAGUCUCGAGGCCUCAGCUGUUAUCUGAGCCUGGAAUGGGCUCAAGACGCAUCAAUUUCUUAAGCCUCAUCAUGGAGCCACAAAUGAAGAAAGAGAUCUGACCCCAACAUCUCAUUUUACAGAAGAAAGUUUUGAAAUGUAGGUAGAAGCAUAGAGAUACACUUGUGAGGAACAGAGUACGGAUGGUGGUGAGCAAAAGAGAGAGGAAAAGCAGAACACUGUAGUGACGGUGGGUGGCCCGGAUGACAGUGGUUAGAUUCUCUGAAUUUCAUUUAGUUAUCAAAUCAGGUACUGGGUGGUACCUCUUGGCCUCUUGAUUACAGAGUUGGAAGCAUAUGGCAUUGUUGAUGAGUCUAUGAGGAGAUGUAAUAAAUCACUGCUUGGUAGGAA